GCACGGGUGAGUAAAGAAUAGAUUACAUGCCUCAUAGACCGGGACAACAGUUGGAAACGACUGCUAAUACUGGAUAUUCCCUACGGGGGAGAGCUUUUGCGCUAUGAGAUUGGUCUAUUUCCCAUCAGCUAGUUGGUAAGGUAAUGGCUUACCAAGGCUAUGACGGGUAGCUGGUCUUAGAGGACGAUCAGCCACACUGGAACUGAGACACGGUCCAGACUCCUACGGGAGGCAGCAGUGGGGAAUAUUGCACAAUGGGGGAAACCCUGAUGCAGCAACGCCGCGUGGAGGAUGACGCAUUUCGGUGUGUAAACUCCUCUUAUUAAGGAAGAAAUUUGACGGUCCUUAAUGAAUAAGCACCGGCUAACUCCGUGCCAGCAGCCGCGGUAAUACGGAGGGUGCAAGCGUUACUCGGAAUUACUGGGCGUAAAGGACGCGUAGGCGGCCAGAUAAGUCANAUGUGAAAUCCUAUGGCUUAACCAUAGAACUGCAUCUAAAACUAUUUGGCUAGAGUGAGGGAGAGGUCAGUGGAAUUAGUGGUGUAGGGGUAAAAUCCGUAGAGAUCACUAGGAAUACUCAUUGCGAAGGCGACUGACUGGAACUUAACUGACGCUGAGGCGU
rnacentral:rRNA from 1 species